rnacentral:rRNA from 1 species
AACGAACGCUGGCGGCAGGCUUAACACAUGCAAGUCGAACGGGUGUAGCAAUACAUCAGUGGCAGACGGGUGAGUAACACGUGGGAACCUUCCUAGGGGUACGGAACAACUCAGGGAAACUUGAGCUAAUACCGUAUACGUCCGUGAGGAGAAAGAUUUAUCGCCCUUAGACGGGCCCGCGUCGGAUUAGCUAGUUGGUGGGGUAACGGCCUACCAAGGCGACGAUCCGUAGCUGAUCUUAGAGGAUGAUCAGCCACACUGGGACUGAGACACGGCCCAGCCUCCUACGGGAGGCAGCAGUGGGGAAUUUUGGACAAUGGUCGCAAGCCUGAUCCAGCCAUGCCGCGUGAGUGAAGAAGGUCUUCGGAUUGUAAAGCUCUUUUGCCAGGGACGAUAAUGACGGUACCUGGAGAAUAAGCCCCGGCAAACUUCGUGCCAGCCGCCGCCGUAA